rnacentral:piRNA from 1 species
GUAGAGCCAGUGGCGGAGUCCAA